AAGCAGUGAGAUUGAGUGUUAGGCAAAUCCGGCACUCUUAAGAUUGAGCUGUGAUGGGGAGAGGAAAUUGUUUCCUCGAGUCGUUGAUUUCACACUGCCGAGAAAAGCCUCUAGAUAGAUAAUAGGUGCCCGUACCGCAAACCGACACAGGUAGUCAAGAUGAGAAUUCUAAGGUGAGCGAGCGAACUCUCGUUAAGGAACUCGGCAAAAUGACCCCGUAACUUCGGGAGAAGGGGUGCUCUUUAGGGUGCAAGCCCAGAAGAGCCGCAGUGAAUAGGCCCAAGCGACUGUUUAUCAAAAACACAGGUCUCUGCUAAACCGUAAGGUGAUGUAUAGGGGCUGACGCCUGCCCGGUGCUGGAAGGUUAAGAGGAGUGGUUAGCUUCUGCGAAGCUACGAAUCGAAGCCCCAGUAAACGGCGGCCGUAACUAUAACGGUCCUAAGGUAGCGAAAUUCCUUGUCGGGUAAGUUCCGACCCGCACGAAAGGCGUAACGAUUUGGGCACUGUCUCAACGAGAGACUCGGUGAAAUCAUAGUACCUGUGAAGAUGCAGGUUACCCGCGACAGGACGGAAAGACCCCGUGGAGCUUUACUGUAGCCUGAUAUUGAAAUUCGGCACAGCUUGUACAGGAUAGGUAGGAGCCUUUGAAACGUGAGCGCUAGCUUACGUGGAGGCGCUGGUGGGAUACUACCCUAGCUGUGUUGGCUUUCUAACCCGCACCACUUAUCGUGGUGGGAGACAGUGUCAGGCGGGCAGUUUGACUGGGGCGGUCGCCUCCUAAAAGGUAACGGAGGCGCUCAAAGGUUCCCUCAGAAUGGUUGGAAAUCAUUCAUAGAGUGUAAAGGCAUAAGGGAGCUUGACUGCGAGACCUACAAGUCGAGCAGGGUCGAAAGACGGACUUAGUGAUCCGGUGGUUCCGCAUGGAAGGGCCAUCGCUCAACGGAUAAAAGCUACCCCGGGGAUAACAGGCUUAUCUCCCCCAAGAGUUCACAUCGACGGGGAGGUUUGGCACCUCGAUGUCGGCUCAUCGCAUCCUGGGGCUGUAGUCGGUCCCAAGGGUUGGGCUGUUCGCCCAUUAAAGCGGUACGCGAGCUGGGUUCAGAACGUCGUGAGACAGUUCGGUCCCUAUCCGUCGUGGGCGUAGGAAAUUUGAGAGGAGCUGUCCUUAGUACGAGAGGACCGGGAUGGACAUACCUCUGGUGUACCAGUUGUCGUGCCAACGGCAUAGCUGGGUAGCUAUGUAUGGACGGGAUAAGUGCUGAAAGCAUCUAAGCAUGAAGCCCCCCUCAAGAUGAGAUUUCCCAACUUCGGUUAUAAGAUCCCUCAAAGAUGAUGAGGUUAAUAGGUUCGAGGUGGAAGCGUGGUGACACGUGGAGCUGACGAAUACUAAUCGAUCGAAGACUUAAUC
rnacentral:rRNA from 1 species